UUAUUGGAGAGUUUGAUCCUGGCUCAGGAUGAACGCUGGCGGCGUGCCUAAUACAUGCAAGUCGAGCGAAUGGAUUGAGAGCUUGCUCUCAAGAAGUUAGCGGCGGACGGGUGAGUAACACGUGGGUAACCUGCCCAUAAGACUGGGAUAACUCCGGGAAACCGGGGCUAAUACCGGAUAACAUUUUGAACUGCAUAGUUCGAAAUUGAAAGGCGGCUUCGGCUGUCGCUUAUGGAUGGACCCGCGUCGCAUUAGCUAGUUGGUGAGGUAACGGCUCACCAAGGCAACGAUGCGUAGCCGACCU
rnacentral:rRNA from 1 species